rnacentral:rRNA from 1 species
GUGGGGAAUUGUUCGCAAUGGGCGCAAGCCUGACGACGCAACGCCGCGUGGAGGAUGAAGACCUUCGGGUCGUAAACUCCUUUCGACCGAGAUGAAUUCUCAUCGACCUAACAUGUCGAUGAGGUGACAGUAUCGAGGGAAGCAGCCCCGGCUAACUCCGUGCCAGCAGCCGCGGUAAUACGGGGGGGGCAAGCGUUGUUCGGAAUUACUGGGCGUAAAGGGUUUGUAGGUGGCUUGCUAAGUCAGACGUGAAAUCCCUCAGCUUAACUGGGGAACUGCGUCUGAGACUGGCAAGCUUGAGUGCAGGAGAGGAACGCGGAAUUCCAGGUGUAGCGGUGAAAUGCGUAGAUAUCUGGAGGAACACCGGUGGCGAAGGCGGCGUUCUGGACUGUAACUGACACUGAUGAACGAAAGCCAGGGGAGCAAACGGGAUUAGAAACCCCGGUAGUCC